rnacentral:rRNA from 1 species
UCAAAGACCGGGGCUUAACUUCGGAAAGGCAGUGGAAACUGAACAGCUAGAGUAUGGUAGGGGCAGAGGGAAUUCCUGGUGUAGCGGUGAAAUGCGUAGAGAUCAGGAAGAACAUCGGUGGCGAAGGCGCUCUGCUGGACCAUAACUGACACUCAGGGACGAAAGCUAGGGGAGCGAAUGGGAUUAGAUACCCCAGUAGUCCUAGCCGUAAACGAUGGAUACUAGGUGUCGACGCGG